CCUACGGGAGGCAGCAGUAGGGAAUAUUGGGCAAUGGGCGAAAGCCUGACCCAGCGACGCCGCGUGCGGGAUGAAGGCCUUCGGGUUGUAAACCGCUUUCAGUAGGGAAGAAGCGAAAGUGACGGUACCUACAAAAGAAGCACCGGCUAACUAUGUGCCAGCAGCCGCGGUAAUACAUAGGGUGCAAGCGUUGUCCGGAAUUAUUGGGCGUAAAGAGCUCGUAGGUCGUUUGUUACGUCGGAUGUGAAAACCUGAGGCUCAACCUCAGGCCUGCAUUCGAUACGGGCAAACUAGAGUUUGGUAGGGGAGACUGGAAUUCCUGGUGUAGCGGUGGAAUGCGCAGAUAUCAGGAGGAACACCAAUGGCGAAGGCAGGUCUCUGGGCCAAUACUGACACUGAGGAGCGAAAGUCUGGGGAGCGAACAGGAUUAGAUACCCUGGUAGUCCAGACCGUAAACGGUGGGCACUAGUUGUGGGAACCUUCCACGGUUUCUGCGACGCAGCUAACGCAUUAAGUGCCCCGCCUGGGGAGUACGAUCGCAAGAUUAAAACUCAAAGGAAUUGACGG
rnacentral:rRNA from 1 species